UACGGGGGGGGCAAGCGUUGUUCGGAAUUACUGGGCGUAAAGGGCUCGUAGGCGGCCAACUAAGUCAGACGUGAAAUCCCUCGGCUUAACCGGGGAACUGCGUCUGAUACUGGUUGGCUUGAAUCCGGGAGAGGGAUGUGGAAUUCCAGGUGUAGCGGUGAAAUGCGCAGAUAUCAGGAGGAACACCGGUGGCGAAGGCGGGUCUCUGGGCCUUACCUGACGCUCAGGCGCGAAAGCUAGGGGAGCGAACUGG
rnacentral:rRNA from 1 species